rnacentral:rRNA from 1 species
AUUGAACGCUGGCGGCAGGCCUAACACAUGCAAGUCGAGCGAGCGGCGGACGGGUGAGUAAUGUAUGGGGACUGCCCGAUAGAGGGGGAUAACUACUGGAAACGGUAGCUAAUACCGCAUACUAUCGGAUAACCCAUAUGGGAUUAGCUAGUAGGUGAGGUAAUGGCUCACCUAGGCGACGCUCCCUAGCUGGUCUGAGAGGAUGAUCAGCCACACUGGGACUGAGAUACGGCCCAGACUCCUACGGAGGCAGCAGUGGGGGAUAUUGCACAAGGGGGGAAAGCCUGAUGCAGCGACGUCGCGUGGGGGAUGAAGGCUUUCGGUGUGUAAACCUCGUUCGCUAUCGAACGGGUAGGUGGAGAAGAAGCGCCGGCUAACUACGUGCCAGCAGCCGCGGUAAUAC